rnacentral:rRNA from 2 species
CCGCCUAUAUACCACCGUCGCCAGCUUACCCUGUGAAGGACUAAUAGUAAGCACAAUCGGCACAGCCCAAAACGUCAGGUCGAGGUGUAGUGCAUGGGAGGGGAAGAAAUGGGCUACAUUCGCUGUCACCAGCGAACACGAAUAAUACAUUGAAACAUGUAAUUGAAGGAGGAUUUAGCAGUAAGCAGAAAGUAGAGCGUUCCGCUGAAGCCGGCUCUUAAGCGCGCACACACCGCCCGUCACCCUCCCCAAGCACCUGGACCUAAAUUUUCUUUAAACCUAAACAAACGCGAAGGAGAGGAAAGUCGUAACAUGGUAAGCGUACCGGAAGGUGCGCUUGGUCAAAUCAGAGCGUAGCUAAAGUAGAAAAGCAUCUCCCUUACACUGAGAAGUUAUCCGUGCAAGUCGGAUCGCCCUGACGCCUAAAAGCUAGCCCCGCCAACCAAACUCAACAAACAAAUAUAAAUAAACCCAAAAGCACUA